rnacentral:rRNA from 1 species
CUAGGGUAGCAAACGGGAUUAGAUACCCCGGUAGUCCUAGCCGUAAACGAUGGACACUAGGUGUUGGUGGUAUCAACCCCGCCAGUGCCGAAGCUAACGCAUUAAGUGUCCCGCCUGGGGAGUACGGCCGCAAGGCUAGAACUCAAAGGAAUUGACGGGGGCCCGCACAAGCAGCGGAGCGUGGGGGUUUAAUUCGAUGCAACGCGAAGAACCUUACCAGGGGCUUGACAUGACCAGGACAACGGGCGGAAACGUCGUCUUCCCGCAAGGGGACCUGGCCACAGGGUGUUGCAUGGCUGUCGUCAGCUCGUGUCGUGAGAUGUUGGGCUUAAGUCCCGCAACGAGCGCAACCCCUGCCGUGUGUUGUAUCACUCACACGGGACUGCCGAGAGAAACUCGGAGGAAGGUGGGGAUGACGUCAAGUCAGCAUGGCCCUUACGUCCUGGGCUACACCCACGCUACAAUGGCCGGUACAACGGGCUUGCGAAACCGCGAGGUGGAGCGAAUCCCUUAAAGCCGGUCUCAGUUCGGAUUGUAGGCUGCAACUCGCCUGCAUGAAGCCGGAGUUGCUAGUAACCGCCGGUCAGCACACGGCGGUGAAUAUGUUCCCGGGCCUUGUACACACCGCCCGUCACGUCAUGAAAGCCGAUAACACCCGAAGCCGGUGGGCCAACCGCAAGGAGGCAGCCGUCGAAGGUGGGAUUGGUGAUUGGGACGAAGUCGUAACAAGGUA